GAUGAAGAACGUAGCGAAAUGCGAUAAGUAAUGUGAAUUGCAGAAUUCCGUGAAUCAUCGAAUCUUUGAACGCACAUUGCGCCCCCUGGUAUUCCGGGGGGCAUGCCUGUCCGAGCGUCAUUACAACCCUCAAGCUCAGCUUGGUGUUGGGCCCCGCCGCCCCGGCGGGCCCUAAAGUCAGUGGCGGUGCCGUCCGGCUCCGAGCGUAGUAAUUCUUCUCGCUCUGGAGGUCCGGUCGUGUGCUCGCCAGCAACCCCCAAUUUUUUUCAGGUUGACCUCGGAUCAGGUAGGGAUACCCGCUGAACUUAAGCAUAUCAAUAAGCGGAGGA
rnacentral:misc_RNA from 1 species